GAUGAACGCUGGCGGCGUGCCUAAUACAUGCAAGUCGAGCGAACGGACGAGAAGCUUGCUUCUCUGAUGUUAGCGGCGGACGGGUGAGUAACACGUGGAUAACCUACCUAUAAGACUGGGAUAACUUCGGGAAACCGGAGCUAGUACCGGAUAAUAUUUUGAACCGCAUGGUUCAAAAGUGAAAGACGGUCUUGCUGUCACUUAUAGAUGGAUCCGCGCUGCAUUAGCUAGUUGGUAAGGUAACGGCUUACCAAGGCAACGAUGCAUAGCCGACCUGAGAUGGUGAUCGGCCACACUGGAACUGAGACACGGUCCAGACUCCUACGGGAGGCAGCAGUAGGGAAUCUUCCGCAAUGGGCGAAAGCCUGACGGAGCAACGCCGCGUGAGUGAUGAAGGUCUUCGGAUCGUAAAACUCUGUUAUUAGGGAAGAACAUAUGUGUAAGUAACUGUGCACAUCUUGACGGUACCUAAUCAGAAAGCCACGGCUAACUACGUG
rnacentral:rRNA from 1 species